UCUAAAGAUAAACCUAAUCACUUCAAAGUAAGGUGAGAAAAUCACAGAAAAUAGGAAACCUAAUCCUCUCAUUUUAUCGUUCUUUUCAUAACAGAUCCACUUUGAUCCUCUCGGCCGUGGUUGGGUUAUUAGAUUCGAGUCCUGAUGAUUUCGAGAUCGGGUUUCAUCUGAGAUUUCUGUUUCUAUCUAUCUGGCUUGAGAGGACAAACGAUUUUGAUGGGGAAACCGAAAAUAAACCUAUCCAACAGACAACUACAUCGGAUUGAGUUAAUGUUGCAUAGCGGAAGUCUUGCGACGAUCUUUCCACUCUUUGUCACCUUGCAUUGCUUCUGAUUGUCUAGGCCUGAGUAAUUUUCCAGGGAAAGCUUGUCUUUGAUGUUUCGGUUUGGUAUGAUUGAUCAAUCCUUGAACACUGCUAAUAUAAGGUUCAGCUCCAUCUCCUACACUUAGCAGCCAUUCCGCAAAGCUUUCUUGUGAUUCAUCAAGUCUCAUGUUCUGUUUGAGAUCGAAGACGUUGCAGAAGUCCCACAAGUGUGACUGUUUUAUUGAUGCUAAAACUGCAUCAGCUCUAGAACCUUGUGGAAUUAUCGGUAGCGUUUGCCUGAAGUCUCCACCUAAUAGUACAGUUUUGCCUCCAAAAGGUUGGUCUUUAACUUUUGGAUCUUUAAUGGACAUCAAAUCUCGCAGUGUUCUGUCAAGGGCUUCAAAUGCAUGCCGAUUUGUCAUAGGUAAAAGCAAUGCUGCGAUGCCAGAGGAAGCAACUGGGAGCACAUUUUUUUUUCUGAUCGCAACUUAGAAAUAAUGGUGUUGUAAAGGCUUACGUUGAUGAAUGUGGAAGGAAAAAGUCCUCCACGUGGCUUCACAAGCAGAUACAUAUCGGCAUUCAAGGUACUCUUGUAUCUCAUCUCUUGGUCUUUUCGUUGAUACACUAUCUUGUGUGUGUUUUGAAGCCUCGGGACCUUUUUCUAUCACAAUGGUAGCUUUGUCGACUCCUUUUGUAAUGUAUUUGAAAAGAUACUUGACAGCAUUUGUUCUGUUGCACCACUCCACGUUUAUAUGAGCUUGAUAUUUUUUUAAAAUAGCUAAAUUGUGUGGAACAACAUAGCGAUUAUCCAACUUUGUUUUUCCUUUGAUCACAAAGUUACCUUCAUCUUGCCGUCGCCGGUAAAUUAUAUAGCCAGAUUUGUCGAUUGAGGUUUGAUCAGUAUAUUGCCUUGGGUAUCUUUUUGAACAUUCUUUAUUUCUCAUGCAAGGAGAUUUUGGUCGAUCCAAUCCACAUGGACCGUGCAUCAUGUGUUUCUCCACAAGCUCAAACCCUUGUUGGUCAUUCUCUUUAUGCGGUAGUUCGGCAGAGAUUAUUGCGUCAACUUCAUUUGUUGUUGGAAUUCUUGAUGCACCAUCCAACCAAAUGAGCAUAUGUGCAUGUGGCAAUCCACGUUUUUGAAAUUCGAUGGUGUGCAGCACUGUAAAAAAAAACAUGUAAGGAGUUCAAUUAUAAUUAAAAUAAUGUAUAAGCAACUUUCGUGAUCAUAAUAUAUAGACUUAACUCAUUGGGUUAGUUUUUCUGCUCAAUUAUAUCAUUUAGUUUUCUUUACCCGUUACACCCAAAACACCAUGCAAAUAUUGCAUGUAAUGACGGUGUAAUGCAACUAACGUGUAUAUGCUAUUAUGAUUGUCAUGUCUACGUGUUUAUAUUUUGGCGAUAUUAAAUUCACAUAUCCUAAACCUAAUAUUUUUCUUAGCACUAAUAAAUAUUAUAUUAAAUAAUUUUUUUCAUAUCUGCUAUAUAUGGCUUGAAGAAUGUUCCCUUCUUAAAAUCUUCAAGCAUUUGUUCUAGUUUCAUUUUGAAAACUCGACACUCAAUAUCAGGUCUAUCAUUUCCGGAUCCACCACCACAUGCUUCCAGAUGGUCAUUUAUCUCUUUCCAGUUUGGAUUGGCUGUCAUAGUAAUGAACAAAUCUGGAUUUCCGUAUGUUCGACAUAUUGCCAUUGCGUCAUGAUACUUUUCGAUCAUGUAUCUAGGGUUUUCAGUAAAACUUGAAGCUACCACAUAAGGUAUUUCAGUGUGGAAUCCAUAUUCGCCGUAAGGAAAUAGCAGUGGAUACUGUAAAGACAUAUACAAAGGAUGAUCAUCUCGUAUUUCUUGCAAAUGGUUUGACUGAUAUUGUAAUAUGACAUCUUUGUAACCAGUAGUAGUUGACAAAUCACCGACUAUCAAACCAGCAACCUCAUUGGUGUUAGGCAUAUCAUAUUGUCUACCUUUCCCUUGA